rnacentral:rRNA from 1 species
UAGAGUUUGAUCCUGGCUCAGAACGAACGCUGGCGGCAUGCCUAAUACAUGCAAGUCGAACGAGAUCUUCGGGUCUAGUGGCGCACGGGUGCGUAACGCGUGGGAAUCUGCCCUUGGGUUCGGAAUAACGUCGGGAAGCUGACGCUAAUACCGGAUGAUGACGCCAAAGAGAUUUGGAGUCCAAAGAUUUAUCGCCCAGGGAUGAGCCCGCGUAGGAUUAGCUAGUUGGUGGGGUAAAGGCCUACCAAGGCGACGAUCCUUAGCUGGUCUGAGAGGAUGAUCAGCCACACUGGGACUGAGACACGGCCCAGACUCCUACGGGAGGCAGCAGUAGGGAAUAUUGGACAAUGGGGGCAACCCUGAUCCAGCAAUGCCGCGUGAGUGAUGAAGGCCUUAGGGUUGUAAAGCUCUUUUACCAGAGAUGAUAAUGACAGUAUCUGGGGAAUAAGCCCCGGCUAACUCCGUGCCAGCAGCCGCGGUAAUACGGAGGGGGCUAGCGUUGUUCGGAAUUACUGGGCGUAAAGCGCACGUAGGCGGCGAUUUAAGUCAGAGGUGAAAGCCCGGGGCUCAACCCCGGAACUGCCUUUGAGACUGGAUUGCUUGAAUCCGGGAGAGGUGAGUGGAAUUCCGAGUGUAGAGGUGAAAUUCGUAGAUAUUCGGAAGAACACCAGUGGCGAAGGCGGCUCACUGGACCGGCAUUGACGCUGAGGUGCGAAAGCGUUGGGGAGCAAACAGGAUUAGAUACCCUGGUAGUCCACGCCGUAAACGAUGAUAACUAGCUGCCGGGGCACAUGGUGUUUCGGUGGCGCCAGCUAACGCAUUAAGUUAUCCGCCUGGGGAGUACGGUCGCAAGAUUAAAACUCAAAGGAAUUGACGGGGGCCUGCACAAGCGGUGGAGCAUGUGGUUUAAUUCGAUGCAACGCGAAAAACCUUACCCACCUUUGACAUGGCAGGAAGUUUCCAGAGAUGGAUUCGUGCUCGAAAGAGAACCUGCACACAGGUGCUGCAUGGCUGUCGUCAGCUCGUGUCGUGAGAUGUUGGGUUAAGUCCCGCAACGAGCGCAACCCUCGCCCUUAGUUGCCAGCAUUCAGUUGGGCACUCUAAGGGAACUGCCGGUGAUAAGCUGGAGGAAGGUGGGGAUGACGUCAAGUCCUCAUGGCCCUUAUGGGCUGGGCUACACACGUGCUACAAUGGCGGUGACAGUGGGACAAUCCCCAAAAGCCGUCUCAGUUCGGAUUGCACUCUGCAACUCGAGUGCAUGAAGUUGGAAUCGCUAGUAAUCGUGGAUCAGCAUGCCACGGUGAAUACGUUCCCGGGCCUUGUACACACCGCCCGUC